ACUCGUACAGGUGCAGUGAAGUUACUUGUAUGUAGCGCUAAAUGCGUCUCAUGUUUUAUGUGAUUUUCUCAUCUUUAUAAAAGUAACCCAAAUAGGCAGUCCUACUAGGCCAAAAAGAAAAAAAAAGCUUUUUUUAUAGCAUUAAAGUUGUCUCAAUAUCACCAAAAGUUGAUCAAAAAAAGUUUGACGAAACCUAUUCAUAUGAGAUAUAGUUUUAAAGAGCUCUUCGUCAGGAACCAAGCCGUCAAAACGGAUCUCAAUUGUGACACUCGAUUUAAAAGAUGUAGCUUUCUGAAAAAAAUAAACGUAAUUAAUUGCACUCAAGGAGGGAAUCGGGUCACAUAGAGUUUACUUUUCUAGAUCAUCCUCACACGCGCGGCUGGUGUUGUCUUUUUGGAAAAUGUUUAUUUUAACCGGCUGAUUUUCACGCCGCGUAAACCACCUGGAACACACGACACGUGUCCAAUCUACGACCGCUUGCAACUGCCCCAGCAUUAUCUUCUUCGGGUCCACACGUUCGCCCCCACUCCUUUUUCCCCUCACUUGUUAUCACACGCGAGAGAGGAUGCAUGGUGUUACGG
rnacentral:lncRNA from 1 species